CAGAACUCCCAAGUUAAGCGUGCUUCGCUUGGAGUAGUUCUAGGAUGGGUGACCGACCGGGAAGUUCAUCCCAGGUGCACAUA
rnacentral:rRNA from 1 species